CCUACGGGUGGCAGCAGUGAGGAAUAUUGGUCAAUGGGGGAAACCCUGAUGCAGCGACGCCGCGUGAGUGAGGAAGUAUUUCGGUAUGUAAAGCUCUAUCAGCAGGGAAGAAAAUGACGGUACCUGACUAAGAAGCCCCGGCUAACUACGUGCCAGCAGCCGCGGUAAUACGUAGGGGGCAAGCGUUAUCCGGAUUUACUGGGUGUAAAGGGAGCGUAGCCGGAAUUGCAAGUCUGAUGUGAAAAUCCGGGGCCCAACCCCGGAACUGCAUUGGAAACUGUAUUUCUAGAGUGUCGGAGAGGCAAGUGGAAUUCCUGGUGUAGCGGUGAAAUGCGUAGAUAUCAGGAGGAACAUCGGUGGCGAAAGCGCUUUACUGGACCAUUAUUGACGCUGAGGAACGAAAGCCAGGGGAGCAAAUGGGAUUAGAUACCCCAGUAGUC
rnacentral:rRNA from 1 species